GAUGAACGCUGGCGGCGUGCCUAAUACAUGCAAGUCGAGCGAACAGACGAGGAGCUUGCUCCUCUGACGUUGGCGGCGGACGGGUGAGUAACACGUGGAUAACCUACCUAUAAGACUGGGAUAACUUCGGGAAACCGGAGCCAAUACCGGAUAACAUGAUGAACCGCAUGGAUCAACAGUGAAAGACGGUCUUGCUGUCACAUAGAGAUGGAUCCGCGCCGCAUUAGCUAGUUGGUAAGGUAACGGCCUACCAAGGCAACGAUGCGUAGCCGAUCUGAGAGGGUGAUCAGCCACACUGGAACUGAGACACGGUCCAGACUCCUACGGGAGGCAGCAGUAGGGAAUCUUGCGCAAUGGGCGCAAGCCUGAUGCAGCCACACCGCGUGAGUGAUGAAGGUCUUCGGGUCGUAAAGCUCUGUUGUUAGGGAAGAACAAAUGUGUAUGUAACUAUGCCCGUCUUGACGGUACCUAAUCAGAAAGCCCCGGCUAACUACGUG
rnacentral:rRNA from 1 species